CAGUAACAGUGAGUGUUGGAGGGUGAAUCUCUGAGAGUUUGUUAAUAUAUCUCCUUGCGGUGCAAUAGUGUGAAGAGUUUCAAGAAGAAGGAUGCAAAUGGGUGCUCUUGAUGUGGGAUGAGCGAUUACGGUUUCCUUGACGACAACUGAUUUGAUCUGGAAACUAGGGAACUCUAUUAUAGAAUCGUCGGGCCCUAAUUGGCACUCCGUCGGUCCCUAAUUGGCACUCCAUCUACGGAUGGCAACCCGGAAGACCGUUUGUUUGAUAACGGUGGCUGGUAUCGGACUAUCAUGACGUAGGCACUGGCCUUGUAAAUAGUAGAGUAAUUUUAUCUGAAUUUGAUUGAAUGGCAGCUUACAAAUGUUUAUGAACAUAUGCUUUACAUUUAAUUACGAAUUUCAUAUUCUAGUUUGAUGCUUUUAA